rnacentral:rRNA from 1 species
CUCAGGAUGAACGCUAGCGGCAGGCCUAAUACAUGCAAGUCGAACGCUCAGUAGCAAUACUGGGAGUGGCGCACGGGUGCGUAACGCGUACACAAAUCUACCUCUAAGCGGGGGGACACCUCCUGGAAACGGGGAUUAAUACCGCAUAAUAUGCCGAAGUCGCAUGACUUUGGUAUUAAAGCAGCAAUGCACUUAGAGAUGAGUGUGCGUCCCAUUAGGUAGUUGGUGAGGUAACGGCUCACCAAGCCUAUGAUGGGUAGCCGGUCUGAGAGGAUGGUCGGCCACACGGGCACUGAGACACGGGCCCGACUCCUACGGGAGGCAGCAGUAAGGAAUAUUGGUCAAUGGUGGAAACACUGAACCAGCCAUGCCGCGUGGAGGAAUAAGGUCCUACGGAUUGUAAACUCCUUUUGACGAGGAAGAAAAUGUUAGAUUUAUCUAAUUUUGACGGUACUCGUAGAAUAAGCACCGGCUAACUCCGUG